rnacentral:rRNA from 1 species
CUCAGGAUGAACGCUAGCGGGAGGCUUAACACAUGCAAGUCGAGGGGCAGCACGAGGUAGCAAUACUUUGGUGGCGACCGGCGCACGGGUGAGUAACACGUAUGCAACCUACCCUGUACAGGGGGAUAACCCGGAGAAAUUCGGACUAAUACCCCAUGAUGAUAUUAAGAGGCAUCUUUUGAUAUUUAAAGUUUCGGCGGUACGGGAUGGGCAUGCGGAACAUUAGCUAGUUGGCAGGGUAACGGCCUACCAAGGCUACGAUGUUUAGGGGACCUGAGAGGGUGAUCCCCCACACUGGUACUGAGACACGGACCAGACUCCUACGGGAGGCAGCAGUGAGGAAUAUUGGUCAAUGGGCGCAAGCCUGAACCAGCCAUCCCGCGUGCAGGAAGACGGCGCUAUGCGUUGUAAACUGCUUUUCCAGGGGGUGAAACUCUCGUACGCGUACGGGAUUGACGGUACCCUGGGAAUAAGCAUCGGCUAACUCCGUGCCAGCAGCCGCGGUAAUACGGAGGAUGCGAGCGUUAUCCGGAUUUAUUGGGUUUAAAGGGUGCGUAGGCGGAUCAAUAAGUCAGAGGUGAAACCCUGCAGCUUAACUGUAGACUUGCCUUUGAUACUGUUAGUCUUGAGUGUGGUCAAGGUAGGCGGAAUGUGUAAUGUAGCGGUGAAAUGCUUAGAUAUUACACAGAACACCGAUUGCGAAGGCAGCUUGCUGGACCAUUACUGACGCUGAUGCACGAAAGCGUGGGGAUCGAACAGGAUUAGAUACCCUGGUAGUCCACGCCGUAAACGAUGAUCACUCGCUGUUAGCGAUACACAGUUAGCGGCUAAGCAAAAGCAUUAAGUGAUCCACCUGGGGAGUACGGCCGCAAGGCUGAAA